GAAAUGCGAUAAGUAAUGUGAAUUGCAGAAUUCAGUGAAUCAUCGAAUCUUUGAACGCACAUUGCGCCCGCCAGCACUCUCGCGGGCAUGCCUGUUCGAGCGUCAUUUCAACCCUCAGAACCCCUUGCGGGAUCUGGCGUUGGGGAUUGGCAUCCAGCCAGCCCCGAAAUCUAGUGGCGGUCCCUCCGCGACCUCCCCUGUGCAGUAGCGAUACCUCGCAGCGGGACAGCGGUCUGACCACGCCGUAAAACCCCCAACUUCUCAAGGUUGACCUCGAAUCAGGUAGGAAUACCCGCUGAACUUAAGC
rnacentral:misc_RNA from 1 species